AAAAAAAAAAGAAGUGACCUAUGCUCUCUCUCAAGCCCCUCUACUACCUCCGUUCAGCCACCAGCGCCGCCGGCGACUCCGCCGUGGCACUACAAUUUCAUGGAUGGAGUUUGAAGCUCCACGCACACACACUUCGAAAAUCCUUGGAAUUGGAGGUAUUAUACAAUCUGAAAACUGUAUAUUAAUAGUUGAGAUGUGGGCAUAGAAUGGUUUCAAGAUCAGGAUUUGGAGGCCGAUGACGACGACGAAGAGUGCCAAAACGAGCUUGGGCUCGCCUAUUUUAAUAUACCAUUGGAUCAAUCAUAUAUUUUAUGAUUUGACCUGAGAACUCAAAGAGCUACUGUGAGCCUGUUGCCAGCGAUGUAGCUUAUCGUUAUUCAAUAGCUCUAACUGCAGUCACCAUUGAUCCAAUAAAUCCAAAUCUGGUUGCAACUGGAAGACGUGAUCCAUUUGCUCGAGUUUAUGACAUUCGAAAAUAUAAACGCGAUGGAUCAUCUGCAUAUGGUCAGCCGGCUAACUUAUAUCGCCCCCGUCCUCAUGCUACAACGUUAGCCAGUUGUGGAAGAGGUGUAUCAAAAUUUGGGUUCCAAAAGCCAUCGAUAAAGCCAUUCCACUAACAAAUCAGGUAUGUUUCUUGCUACACCUUUUUCAUAUUGCCUAAUGUCAAAUGAUUAAAGUAAUGGUUAUUGGUUGCUAUUCUUACGAACUAUGGUCGGAUUCUGAAUUUUCCCACCAACUUUAGUCAUAUUUGGAAUUUCCCACAAUUGACUGUAGCUCACCGGAUGAUCUUGGAAAAUUAAAUGAUCUUAGCAAAUAUAACAUUCAUCCACAAAUAUAUUCCGAAAAUAAAAUCCUAAAAUGCAUAACAUAAAAGUUACAAUAAAUUAUUAUUGAAUUGUUUGUCAAAAUGAAAAAAAAAAUUAUAAUAAGCCCAACGCGUUGGGCCCAUUCGGGUCAAUCUUCGUCUAACUAUAGAUUAAUAAAAUUUCAACCUUAAAUUUUUUGAAAUUUAUCAAUCUGUUGAAGUCAAUCCAUAAAUCUCGAGUUUCUUAACCGUAUUCGAACAAAUUUAGGAUCCACUUUAAAAAUUUUAAGCUAUAUUCAGUUUACAACUUUCAUUAAAGUUGAGGUCUAUUUACAUUUUUUUUCUAAAGUACGGACUAUUUUUUAUAUUAUUAAAAUUCACUCUUUUUAUAGAUGAUUCCAAAAUCCUUAAAUUUAAAAAAGAUUAAGUACCACGUUGAAUCUAUAAAUGAUGUUAUGAUUAUCAUCUUAUCUAAUAAUAAUGCAACACGUCGAACUUCUCGAUUGUUAAAAUUAUCCAUGAUGCUUUAAAAAAUUAAGUUUAGUUAAAACGGCUUGAAUUUAUUACACGGCAACUGCAGAUCUCAUGACGUCAAAGCAAUGUGCAUAGCGAGAUGCCUGCACGUUUUCUUCGCAUACCAGUGAAAAAGUAAAUAAUAAUAAUAAUAAUAAUAAUAAUAACAACAACAAUAAUCAUAAUAAAAAAAUGCAUCCUAAACAAUGCGACAAAAUAAAUACGGAGUAUUAUUUAACAUUUUGGUGCAGUGCAGUUGUAUAUUUGGUGAAAUGCCAGCUUGAUAAUGAUAGGCUACUACUACCAAAAGUCUAAAACGACAUGUCUCUCUCAAAAAAUCUUUUGCCAAUAAUUGCAACAAGAUCUGUCCCUCCGUUGCCAAACUGCGCUGCGCCCCUGCGGGCAUCUUUUGCCAAUAAUGAUUAUAUAUGUUGUAGCGUUUAUUUGAUAAGAGGUAGCCAACUUGUAGCAUGCUUCUAGUUACAUAUAAUAAUAAAAAGGGUUUUAUAUCAUUUUUUUAUUUGGGGAUAAAAAAUAGUGAAAUUUGAAUUUUAGAGA